rnacentral:rRNA from 1 species
UACGGGGGGGGCAAGCGUUGUUCGGAAUUACUGGGCGUAAAGGGCUCGUAGGUGGUCAACUAAGUCGGACGUGAAAUCCCUCGGCUUAACCGGGGAACUGCGUCCGAUACUGGAUGACUUGAGUUCGGGAGAGGGAUGCGGAAUUCCAGGUGUAGCGGUGAAAUGCGUAGAUAUCUGGAGGAACACCGGUGGCGAAGGCGGCAUCCUGGACCGACACUGACGCUGAGGAGCGAAAGCGUGGGUAGCAAACAGG